rnacentral:tRNA from 1 species
UUAAAGGAGACCUACCCACUCAGAUAUUGAAUUUAUUUGUAAUUAAAUACUGAGUUGGUCAUCCUAUAGGUCGGUCGCGCAAUUGUUGUUAAGUUUCUUUCAAACUAUAUUUUGGUUCGUAUGGGCUAUUAGCUCAGGUGGUUAGAGCGCACCCCUGAUAAGGGUGAGGUCCCUGGUUCGAGUCCAGGAUGGCCCACCUGAAAAAAAGUCAGGAGUCAGAAAGAAAAAGUUCUGAAUACUGAGUUUUGAAUUCUGGGGGUUUAGCUCAGUUGGUAGAGCGCCUGCUUUGCAAGCAGGAUGUCAGCGGUUCGAGUCCGCUAACCUCCACCAGAAUGUUGUUGUAUUCUAAUCGGGAAAAGUUCAGCAACUGAGCGGAUUAUUCGCCAGACUGCUGGAUAUAUUUCCAGCUAUUGAACCUUGAAAACUGCAUACUGAAGCGAAUAAGCAGGCAGACACAGACAUAACUUGUUAUUUGUGUGUUUGGAUGAAUUAGCAAUUGUUUAAUU